UCAGAUCAGGUAGGAUUACCCGCCGAACUUAAGCAUAUCAAUAAGCGGAGGAAAAGAAACUAACAAGGAUUCCCCUAGUAACGGCGAGUGAAGCGGGAAGAGCUCAAAUUUGUAAUCUGGCGGCCUGUGGUCGUCCGAGUUGUAGUCUGGAGAAGCGUUUUCCGCGUCGGACCGUGUACAAGUCCUUUGGAACAGGGCAUCAUAGAGGGUGAGAAUCCCGUCUUUGACACGGACUGCCGAUGCUUUUGUGAUGCGCUCUCGAAGAGUCGAGUUGUUUGGGAAUGCAGCUCAAAACGGGUGGUAAAUUCCAUCUAAAGCUAAAUAUUGGCAAAAGACCGAUAGCGAACAAGUACCGUGAGGGAAAGAUGAAAAGCACUUUGGAAWGAGAGUCAAAUAGUACGUGGAAAUUGUCGAAAGGGAAACGCUUGAAGUCAGUCGCGUCUCYUGGGACUCAGCCGGGCAUCCUUUUGSYUGGUGUAUUUCCUGGGGUGACGGGSCAGCAUCGAUUUUKAMCRUCGGAGAAAGSSUWKGGRAAUGUGGCACCKUCGRGUGUGWUMUAKCCCUCGKUCGCAUGCGCCGGUUGGGAYYGAGGAUCRCAKSACRCMKUUAUUGGCCGGGGUUCGCCCASGUAMCGUGCUUAGGAUGCURGCGUAAKARCUUUAAGCGWSCCGWCUKGAAACACGRWYCAGAGKWKYCUAACAGUSMCKKCGAGUGUUUGGGUGGAAAACCCAGACGCGAAAUGAAAGUGAAAGGGUUGGGACCUCUGUUGUGGAGGGCACCGACGCCCGGACCAGACCUUUUGUGACGGUUCCGAGGUAGAGCAUGCAUGCUGGGACCCGAAAGAUGGUGAACUAUGCCUGAGUAGGGUGAAGCCAGAGGAAACUCUGGUGGAGGCUCGUAGCGAUUCUGACGUGCAAAUCGAUCGUCGAACUUGGGUAUAGGGGCGAAAGACUAAUCGAACCAUCUUUGGCUC
rnacentral:rRNA from 1 species